AGUCGAGCGGAGAUGAGGUGCUUGCACCUUAUCUUAGCGGCGGACGGGUGAGUAAUGCUUAGGAAUCUGCCUAUUAGUGGGGGACAACAUUCCGAAAGGAAUGCUAAUACCGCAUACGUCCUACGGGAGAAAGCAGGGGAUCUUCGGACCUUGCGCUAAUAGAUGAGCCUAAGUCGGAUUAGCUAGUUGGUGGGGUAAAGGCCUACCAAGGCGACGAUCUGUAGCGGGUCUGAGAGGAUGAUCCGCCACACUGGGACUGGGACACGGCCCAGACUCCUACGGGAGGCAGCAGUGGGGAAUAUUGGACAAUGGGGGGAACCCUGAUCCAGCCAUGCCGCGUGUGUGAAGAAGCCUUAUGGUUGUAAAGCACUUUAAGCGAGGAGGAGGCUACUGAGACUAAUACUCUUGGAUAGUGGACGUUACUCGCAGAAUAAGCACCGGCUAACUCUGUGCCAGCAGCCGCGGUAAUACAGAGGGUGCGAGCGUUAUCCGAUUUACUGGGCGUAAAGCGUGCGUAAGCGGCUUUUUUAGUCGAUGUGAAAUCCCCCAGCUUAACUUGGGAAUUGCAUUCCAUACUGGG
rnacentral:rRNA from 1 species